UACGUAGGGAGCAAGCGUUGUCCGGAAUCAUUGGGCGUAAAGCGCGCGUAGGUGGCUUCGUAAGUCCGUUGUGAAAGUCAAAGGCUCAACCUUUGAAAGCCGAUGGAUACUGCGGAGCUAGAGUACGGAAGAGGCGAGUGGAAUUCCUGGUGUAGCGGUGGAAUGCGUAGAUAUCGGGAGGAACACCUGUGGCGAAAGCGGCUCACUGGACCACAACUGACGCUGAUGCGCGAAAGCUAGGGGAGCAAACAGG
rnacentral:rRNA from 1 species